GACAGAGGGUGCAAACGUUGUUCGGAAUUACUGGGCGUAAAGCGCGUGUAGGCGGCUCGGCAAGUCGGGUGUGAAAGCCCUGGGCUUAACCUAGGAAGUGCACUCGAAACUGCCAAGCUUGAGUUCUGGAGAGGAAGGCGGAAUUCCCGGUGUAGCGGCGAAAUGCGUAGAUAUCGGGAGGAACACCAGAGGCGAAGGCGGGUCUCUGGGCCGAUACUGACGCUGAGGAGCGAAAGCGUGGGGAGCGAACAGG
rnacentral:rRNA from 1 species